CACGGUUCUAGAAUAACCUUCCCAAGGCAUAUUUCAUAACAUUCCCCACAUGUGACCACUAGUAAAUGCUUUCUCUGGAGGCCUCCACAACCUCUGACUCAGUUUGACACAGCAUUUAGCACACGAGCAACAGUCACACUGGCAGCUAUUCCAGGACUGGACUCAGUUCCUCAUUCCCUUCACCUGAAUUGUUCCCUCACAUCUGCCUCUUGGGAAAACAACUCUGGAUUCUCCCAACCUAGAGUGUUCUCAGCUUCUUCUGACAGCCAGCAAGGAAUGGCAACCUCACCCCACCCCUGCAGGAAACUCAAUUCUGCCAACAAUCAGAAUUAGCAAGAAACAGACCGUUCCCUGGACCCUCCAGAAAGGAGCCCAGCCUGCAGACACCUGGAUGUCAGCCCAGCCAGAACCACGCUGGGCUUCUCACCUACAGACAUUUGAAGUAAGGAAUCUGUGUUGCAUUAGGUCAUGAAAUUUGUGGUUUUUAUUACAGCAGCUUACAAAGCUAAUACAAGAAGGAUUUUGGGGAAAUGUGGUGCGUAAGCUCUGGGGGUGAAAACCUAGAAGAAGCUCAGAUGCAGAGUGAAGACCAUUAACCAGUUUAUUUAACAAAUGUAACCUGACCACCACCUGCCAGGUGGAGGGGACACAGUGGUGACCAAUCACAGUGAUGGUGAUGGAGUGGCUUUUCCCCAGGACCCAGCAGUUACAGGAACCUCUGGGAACAUCAGCACAUGCUCAGCGUGGAGUGUCCCUUACCUGGAGAUGGGGCUACAGUGUGAUAAAAAUUCCACUGCAGUUCACCUGGCUACAUUCCCCCCAAAUCAAUGCCACACAUGAGCUUUAGGGAUGAAGCUGGAGGGUUGGUUCAGCUUCAUGAUCACAGGUCAGAAGCUGGUUUGGCCUCUCAUCCCUUCUCAGACCCUAUGCUGCGGUCAGUGUGAGUUCAUUCUGUGGACAACGUCAUCAUGGACAGCCAGGCAGUGGAGCAGUGGACCAUGGCUCUGACAGUCCCCCUUGAAGGAACCAGGUGGGGUGUGGCCUUCAGAGUCACCUACAGUGACCUUCUCCCUGGGGCCCUGGGAAGGGAACCUCAGGCUGCCCAGGACCCUGCCCAACAGGAACAACUGGCUGCAAAGGAACAGACUGGAGGUAGAGGGAGGGUCAGAGGUCAAAGACCUCCCAGCAGCACUAGUUUCUGCAUGAAUUAUAUGUCACU